rnacentral:rRNA from 1 species
UACAGAGGGUGCAAGCGUUAAUCGGAAUUACUGGGCGUAAAGCGUGCGCAGGCGGUUUUGUAAGACAGGCGUGAAAUCCCCGGGCUCAACCUGGGAAUUGCGCUUGUGACUGCAAGGCUGGAGUGCGGCAGAGGGGGAUGGAAUUCCGCGUGUAGCAGUGAAAUGCGUAGAUAUGCGGAGGAACACCGAUGGCGAAGGCAAUCCCCUGGGCCUGCACUGACGCUCAUGCACGAAAGCGUGGGGAGC